UAUGUGAUCGUCUCUUGCAUAUCAAUAAGCGGAGGAAAAGAAACUAACAAGGAUUCCCCUAGUAACGGCGAGUGAAGCGGGAAGAGCUCAAAUUUGAAAUCUUAAAGGGUUUCCCUUUACGAAUUGUAGUUUAAAGAAGUGUUUUCUGUUGAGGUUUUGGUAAAAGUUCUUUGGAAUAGGACAUCAUAGAGGGUGAGAAUCCCGUAUUUGACCUUUACUUUCAACUUUGUGAUACACUUUCAAAGAGUCGGAUUGUUUGGGAAUGCAGUCCAAAAUGGGUGGUAAAUUUCAUCUAAAGCUAAAUAUUGGCGAGAGACCGAUAGCGAACAAGUACCGUGAGGGAAAGAUGAAAAGAACUUUGAAAAGAGAGUUAAACAGUACGUGAAAUUGUCAAAAGGGAAGCGUUUGACACCAGUGUUGUUUUUCUGAAAAUCAAUUAAAGAACUGUUUAUGCUAAGUUGUUUAGACUUUAUCAGCUAACUGUUUAGUUUUGAGCUUUUCUUUAAUGCACUUUUCAGUUAACAAGUCAACAUCAAUUUCUUUUGCUGUAAAAAAGCUUGAGGAAGGUGGCUUGAGAUUCGUCUUAAGUGUUUAUAGCCUCUUGCCUAUGCAGUCGGAGAGAUUGAGGUCUGCAGCGUAGAUCCUUCGGGGCUAAAUGCAUUUGUGCUAAGUUAUAACAUUUUAUAGACAACUUGUUGACUAUGAUUUGUCUUGUAGCUUACUCGCUUAUGUUAUUUUACCUACGCUUAGGAUGUUGAGUAGCGACAUACGCAC
rnacentral:rRNA from 1 species